rnacentral:rRNA from 1 species
CAAUUCUGUGUGCACGAUGACGGUCUUCGGAUUGUAAAGUGCUUUCAGUUGGGAAGAAAGAAAUGACGGUACCAACAGAAGAAGCGACGGCUAAAUACGUGCCAGC